rnacentral:rRNA from 1 species
AUUGAACGCUGGCGGCAGGCCUAACACAUGCAAGUCGAGCGGGGUUUUCGGACCUAGCGGCGGCCGGGUGAGUAAUGCGUAGGAAGCUACCCGAUAGAGGGGGAUACCAGUUGGAAACGACUGUUAAUACCGCAUAAUGUCUACGGACCAAAGUGUGGGACCUUCGGGCCACAUGCUAUCGGAUGCGCCUACGUGGGAUUAGCUAGUUGGUGAGGUAAUGGCUCACCAAGGCGACGAUCUCUAGCUGGUUUGAGAGGAUGAUCAGCCACACUGGAACUGGGACACGGUCCAGACUCCUACGGGAGGCAGCAGUGGGGAAUAUUGGACAAUGGGCGCAAGCCUGAUUCAGCCAUGCCGCGUGUGUGAAGAAGGCCUUCGGGUUGUAAAGCACUUUCAGCGAGGAGGAAGGGGUGUGUGUUAAUAGUACACACCUUUGACGUUACUCGCAGACGAAGCACCGGCUAACUCUGUGCCAGCCGCCGCCGUAACAC